rnacentral:rRNA from 1 species
GCAUAACGCGAAGAACCUUACCUACCCUUGACAUGUCAGAGAUCCCUGAGAGAGUUGGGGAGUGCCGCAAGGAAUCUAGAACACAGGUGCUGCAUGGCUGUCGUCAGCUCGUGUCGUGAGAUGUUGGGUUAACGUCCCGACAACGAGCGACAACCCUUGUCGUUAAUUGCCAUCUAUUUGGGUUGGGCUACUUUAACGAGACUGCCGGUGACAAACCGGAGGAAGGUGGGGAUGACGUCAAGUCCUCAUGGCCCUUAUGGGUAGGGCUUCACACGUCAUACAAUGGUCGGUACAGAGGGUUGCGAAGCCGCGAGGUGGAGCCAAUCCCAGAAAGCCGAUCGUAGUCCGGAUUGGAGGCUGCAACUCGCCUCCAUGAAGUCGGAAUCGCUAGUAAUCGCGGAUCAGCAUGUCGCGGUGAAUACGUUCCCGGGUCUUGUACACACCG